UACGUAGGGUGCGAGCGUUGUCCGGAAUUAUUGGGCGUAAAGGGCUCGUAGGCGGUUUGUCGCGUCGGGAGUGAAAACACUGGGCUUAACCGAGUGCUUGCUUUCGAUACGGGCAGACUUGAGGCAUUCAGGGGAGAACGGAAUUCCUGGUGUAGCGGUGAAAUGCGCAGAUAUCAGGAGGAACACCGGUGGCGAAGGCGGAUCUCUGGGCCUGUCCUGACGCUCAGGCGCGAAAGCUAGGGGAGCAAACAGG
rnacentral:rRNA from 1 species